GACGAACGCUGGCGGCGUGCCUAAUACAUGCAAGUAGAACGCUGAAGGAGGAGCUUGCUUCUCUGGAUGAGUUGCGAACGGGUGAGUAACGCGUAGGUAACCUGCCUGGUAGCGGGGGAUAACUAUUGGAAACGAUAGCUAAUACCGCAUAAUAGCAGUUAUUGCAUGAUAACUGUUUGAAAGGUGCAAUUGCACCACUACCAGAUGGACCUGCGUUGUAUUAGCUAGUUGGUGGGGUAACGGCUCACCAAGGCGACGAUACAUAGCCGACCUGAGAGGGUGAUCGGCCACACUGGGACUGAGACACGGCCCAGACGCCUACGGGAGGCAGCAGUAGGGAAUCUUCGGCAAUGGACGGAAGUCUGACCGAGCAACGCCGCGUGAGUGAAGAAGGUUUUCGGAUCGUAAAGCUCUGUUGUAAGAGAAGAACGAGUGUGAGAGUGGAAAGUUCACACUGUGACGGUAUCUUACCAGAAAGGGACGGCUAACUACGUG
rnacentral:rRNA from 1 species